rnacentral:rRNA from 1 species
UACGUAGGGGGCAAGCGUUGUCCGGAUUUAUUGGGCGUAAAGAGCGUGUAGGCGGCCUGACAGGUCUGCUGUGAAAACUCGAGGCUCAACCUCGAGAUGUCGGCGGAAACCGUCUGGCUAGAGUCCGGAAGAGGAGAGUGGAAUUCCUGGUGUAGCGGUGAAAUGCGCAGAUAUCAGGAAGAACACCUAUGGCGAAGGCAGCUCGCUGGGACGUGACUGACGCUGAGACGCGAAAGCGUGGGGAGCAAACAGG